UCGAUAUAACUUGAUGUAUAAAGUUAUUUACUUUUAAUUUGAAUUUUUAUGGGUAUAUUUUUUGUGAAAUAUAUAUGGGUUAGUGUAUAUUUAUUGAUAAGAUAAAAUAAUUUUUGUUAUAGUGAAUUUGUACUGUGAGGGAUAAAGGGUAUGUUUAUAUAAUAUUUUAAUUAGUUAAUUUUGUUAAUUGUGCCUUGUGUAUCAGGAUUAUUUAAUAGUUUAUUAUUUAUUUAUGUUUCUCGAUGGUGGAAGAGUUAAAUAUUUAUAUUAGUUGUUGUGUUAUUAAUAUUAAUAAUGAUUAUUUAGUAGUGAGAUGUUAUUCGUUUUUAUGUAUAUCUAGUUGUCUGGGAAAUAAAUUUAAUUUAGUUUUUUAUUUUAAUUAUUUAAUUUUUAAUAAGGUUUUAAUUGAAAAUAAUGCUUUGAGGGAUAAUCUUUGGGGUUUAUAAUAAUAAGUUUUUUUUAUUGAAGUAGUAUGAAUUUAGAGUUAGUUAAUAUUUUGAUUAUGUUGAAAUUUUACUUUAUUAUUUUCUUUAUUUUUAUUUUCUUUUAAUGUUUUACUGGAUUGUUUUAUUUAAUUUUUUAUUAGUUGUAAUAAUGAUUAAAUUAGUAUAUAAUGUUUUAUGUAAUUAAUAAUUGUUUAAAAUUGAAUUAAGGAAUUAGGCAAAAUGUUUUAUUGUUCGCUUGUUUAACAAAAACAUCUUUUCUUGAUUUUUUAGGAAAUAUAACCUGCCCACUGAUGAUUUAAAGGGCCGCGGUAAUAUGACCGUGCAAAGGUAGCAUAAUCAUUAGUUUCUUAAUUAGGAACUGGAAUGAAUGGUUGGACGAGAUAUAGGCUGUCUUUAUUUUAUUUAUUGAAUUUAAUUUUUAGGUAAAAAAGCCUAAAUGUGUUUAUGGGACGAGAAGACCCUAUAGAAUUUUAUAAUUUAAUUAUUUUGUUGUGUAUGAUAUUUAAAUUUUAGUUAAAUUAUUUUGUUGGGGUGAUAGUAAGAUAAAAUAAACUCUUUUUAGUGAAGUAUAUUGAUAUAUAUAUAUAUAUUUGAUCCAUUAAUGAUGAUUAGAAGAUUAAAUUACCUUAGGGAUAACAGCGUAAUCUUUUUUGAGAGUUCAUAUCGACAGGAAGGGUUGCGACCUCGAUGUUGGAUUAAGAGUAAUAUUUGGUGUAGAAUUUAAAUUAUUAGGUCUGUUCGACCUUUAAAAUCUUACAUGAUCUGAGUUCAAACCGGCGUGAGCCAGGUUGGUUUCUAUCUAUAAUUUUUUAUAAUGCUUUAGUACGAAAGGACCAAGUAUUUGAAAUAAUUUUAUUUUUGUGAAUAUUAUUAAUUUUACUAUUUUGGCAGAAAAGUGCAAUGGAUUUAGAAUCUGUGAAUGUAGAAUU
rnacentral:rRNA from 1 species